AGGGCUAUGAGAUGUAGGAGAAGGUCAAAAACAGAUUAUAGCAGGAUAAAGGUUUGACAUCGAAGGCCGUGGAGAAGCAGCAAAGAAGGAGGUGCCUGAAGCAGACACCAGCAGAGGGGCUCCAGCUGGGAGAAGCGAAGAGGAAAGCAUCAACUGAAUAAAAGGUGAAGGAGAUGAGAGACCACACCCUGCCACAGCGCUUAGGCCUAUGCGUACCUGAGACCGUCGUCUGAAGACUCCUCUGUUCCUAAGACUUCUAGACCAGACCUGCUCGACAGACGUUCUCCU